rnacentral:lncRNA from 1 species
GUUGGGGUUCUGAACUUCGUUCUUUUCUCCCCCGGUGUUACUUAAGCGCUUCAUUCACUUUGGAAGGCAAAGAGUUGUGUCUAAGCUACAUGUGAAGUCCUAAACCCUGAGUCCUGUUCUGGGAACUGCGAACCAACCUAGGACCCGGCGUCGUGGCUAGGACUGACUACGGUGAUGUGCAUUCUGAAAACUGAAGGGAAAGCUAGAGGGACCCGGUAGGAAAAGGAAGGGGGCCUCUGACCAAGUGUUCGCAACAGCUCUGAACACCACACUCCUGGUAGAUGAACCAGCUGUCACUCUGUCUUUGAAUGUAGUAGCUCAGGUGGACCUCUCAAUUCUAGCGCUGAAAAGUAGGCGACAAAGCUGCUCAAUCCACAAGUCCAUCAGAAUCCCCUGGGAGCAUAAAUGCCGUGUUGGUAAGUCCUUUCCAUGCUUUCUGUUUUAGAAAGUCUGAACUCCUGAAUAAAAGCAGGGGUCCUGCCUCCUGGGGCA